GACGAACGCUGGCGGCGUGCUUAACACAUGCAAGUCGAACGGAAAGGCCCUGCUUUUGUGGGGUGCUCGAGUGGCGAACGGGUGAGUAACACGUGAGUAACCUGCCCUUGACUUUGGGAUAACUUCAGGAAACUGGGGCUAAUACCGGAUAGGAGCUCCUGCUGCAUGGUGGGGGUUGGAAAGUUUCGGCGGUUGGGGAUGGACUCGCGGCUUAUCAGCUUGUUGGUGGGGUAGUGGCUUACCAAGGCUUUGACGGGUAGCCGGCCUGAGAGGGUGACCGGCCACAUUGGGCCUGAGAUACGGCCCAGACUCCUACGGGAGGCAGCAGUGGGGAAUAUUGCACAAUGGGCGGAAGCCUGAUGCAGCAACGCCGCGUGCGGGAUGACGGCCUUCGGGCUGUAAACCGCUUUCGCCUGUGACGAAGCGUGAGUUACGGUAAUGGGUAAAGAAGCACCGGCUAACUACGUG
rnacentral:rRNA from 1 species